UAAAAAUUUAAUUUAUAAUAUUUAAGUAGUAUUAGUUAAGGUCUUUAAAUUUAAAAAAUUUGGCGGUAUUUUAGUCUAUUCAGAGGAACCUGUUUUGUAAUCGAUAGUCCACGUUGUAUCUUACUUAAAUUUGUUUUUAUAGUUUAUAUAUCGUUGUUUAUAAAUAUUUUUAAAAAAUAAUAAUAUUUUAAAUUUUAAAUUAAAAAUUAUAUCAGAUCAAGAUGUAGUUUAUGUUUAAGUUUAUAAUGGGUUACAUUUAUUUUAUUAAUGGAUAUAGAUUUGAAAUUAUUUAUUGAAAUUGGAUUUGAUAGUAAAUUUAUAUAGAUAGAUAAGUUGAUUUUAGCUCUAAAAUAUG
rnacentral:rRNA from 1 species